CAAAGGUUCAGUACCACUACGAUAGACCACCCAUAUAAGAAUAAUCUUAGAAGCUGGAGGUGUCGAUGUUGCUGAAGAGCCUUGGAGAGUCAGUUACCAUAGUUGUGAGUCAUCAAAGCUAGAAGCAGGAGGUGGAUCCCUAGAAGCAUGUGGUGGAGACCUAGAACCAGGAGGUGGCAGUCCUUAUCGAAACAUAGAGGAAGCCGAUAGUGUUGGCAUCCAAAUCUACUCUCUGUUGUGCUUAUCUAGAAUUAAAAUCUGACCUCUUUGCCAUACACUAUAAAUAUCCAGGUACUGAACAUGAAGUUUAAUUUUCCCUUUUGAAGAGCUUGUGAUUAAUAUGAAGGAAGUGUGAGACUUGUUUUGUUUAGUUUCCUAGAAUAAGAGCAAAAGCUGCCAGUUUGUAGUUUGCCUUUGAAGUAUAGGUUUGAAAUUUCUGUGGGAAUAAUGAACUAUCAAGAAAGUUUGUACUGUAAUCUAUAUAAUUAUGUUUGCUGCAAUAUAAAUUUCUUUUUUUUC